rnacentral:lncRNA from 1 species
UCUUAGAGGCAGCCACCUCACUGAUUGAUGUUCAAUUUAGAUUGGAAGAUAAGGGAGGUGGUAACCCUUUUUUUAUUUAAAAUGACAACCUUAUUUUUCGAAAGNNNNNNNNNNNNNNNNNNNNNNNNNNNNNAACCUUAUUUUUCGAAAGAGGGAGAAGAAGAAGAAAUUUUUUAUCAAUUACAACGGAAACUCUCCCAAUUUUCCUCCAAAAUCCAAUUACAUUCUGAAUUCAAAACACCCCAAUCUCACUAAACCUAUUACAAAAAAACAACAACACAUUAAAAGCCCAAAAAGAAACAAAAAAAACAAAACGGAGAAAAAAUAUCAAGAUUGAAAAGUGUUGGAUCCACUAAUAGGCACUUUCGUCAGACUCCCGAGACUCACUGAAUUUCCAAAAUUCCUGGAACAAGAAACAGAAGUUUAGUCCACACCACUGGAACUUUGAAGAACAAUCGCUAACGUUAAAAGGUCGGUGCUGCCAAACGAACCUUUUUCUAAUUCACAAUCAUUCACAUAUCAUUGAUAUUCUAUUUCAACAUUUAUCAAUAUACUUUCUAGGUUUUAUGCUAUAUUGACUGUUUUAUUACCACUUAAAUUGCUCUUAACUUGAUAUUCACAACUACGAAAUGGUUAAAUAGUCAACUUAUACAAAUAAUGAAUUCAAGGUAAAAUGUAACUUUUUCGUUCAAAAAAGGCUGUUGAAAAAAUAGAUUAACAAUGGAUUAAACAACCUCCUAUUACCAUUUUCAUAUAAUUUACACCGAGAACUCAAGAAUUAUAAGGCUACUCAUACAAAUCAAAGUAAAAUAAGUGCUUUUUGUUAAAUGUGAUUGCUAAAAUUUUCAUAAAAGUGACAAAAUAAUCAGUUGUUCAAACGGAAAAUCAUCUUCACGACACUUAGAUUACCGAUUUAGUUUUAAUAAGAAAGAUAGUCAAGUUUUCAUAUUUUACGCAACCUAAUCAACCAAGGACAAAGUCGCUAAUAUCUAUCGAGCAAAAUCAGAACAAUUAGAUUUUAGGUAUUUUACCUUUCUGAAGGUCAUCUCCUCUCUUAUUCGCACUUUUAUUGGUUUCCUCCGGUGAGUCAGGUCAGCGUCUCCCAUUUUCUCAUCACCGAUUUCC